ensembl:lncRNA
GUCAUUUAAUAGUAAAAUUAUUUAAGGCAUCAAUACAUUUCUAUAUUGCUUCCCCAGUAUCUGCAUGAACCAUCAGGCCAAGUGUUUUUGGUUGACCCUGCUGGACAGAAAGAGAAGGAGGAAUCGGAACACGCUGCAUUCAAAUUCAGGUCCUAGUUAUUCCAUUGUACUGGAUCAAAUACAUAUUAUCAUUUUACAUACAUUCAUAAGUGUAAUACUUUUUUAUGACAUACUGUGAAAUACUCUCUUGGCUGCUGUCUCUGUCACUUUCAGACAUGUGCAGAGCAGACUUAAACCUCUGGAAAGGAGUUAGUAAUUGUCAUGAGAAUUUUCAAUCACAAUGAUAAUAACUAACAAUCAAUAGCUUUGACCAAUCCCAAGGUUUGUAAGACCAUGGGUUUAAUAAUAAUUAGGCAAAGACUCAGCUUAUGCAAAAGGUUAGCACAGUUCAUUCACAAGAACGUUCUAAAAUCCAAAAUGCAGUCUUUAUAACACACACAAACAAGUUCAAAUCUUAAACUACGCCUUGCUCAGACAGUCAGUGUUUUUCCACUACACAGAUACAUUGUUUCUUUAAUCUGCAACAUGUUUCAUAAUGUUUCUGCUAGCCUAACAGUUUCUCCCCUCCACGGGUAGAGACAGAAUGUCCUUUAAGGAACACAGUAGUACAACUUGUCUGUCGAUAGUCAUUUGUUUCCCACUUGCACCCUGCUUACAUAUUAAAAAGGAUCAAAAGGUCCUUGUUCUAAUUCUGACUAAAACUACACACAUCGUCAGAUUAUAGUUUUAUGAUUCUAAUAAAUUUCAUACAAUUAUAUGGUUUCAGGGUGAAAUAUUUUAAACAUUACCAUUAAGCAUAUAAUUCCCUUAUCAAUCCACCCUUAAUGACUAAAUAAUACACACUGAUACAUCCACCGUCAUAUGGAAUCAAAAAUGUUACAUAAAAUCAAACAAAACCAAUUCAUGUAUUUACAUCAGAUACUUAUCAUCGACUGCUCUAGGCCUAUAUCCAAUUAUAACCCUUCUUUUUGUGAUUUUUAUUACAAUCUUCAUUAAAGGAACAGUCUGUCGAAACAUUGAAGAUAGUCUCAUCUAACAAUGGCUCCUUAUGGUUAAAAGAAACGGAGCCAUCUCCUAGGCCUGGAGGCCUGUAUUCGUCAUCCCACUGGUUGGAGCUCGGAAUCGGUCCAUAUCUCACCAUCUGUUGGUCAUCGAUCUCUCUAGAGUUCUGGUGAUCAAACCUCUCACACAUGGGACCAAACAGCAUCCACACAACACCAACACACUCAUACAUGUGAAAGCAGCCCAAAAUACAGUACUUACAAUAUUUUUCCAUUUCCCAAACAUGCUAUCGAACCACCCUGUCAGGGAAGUAUCCACCCCAGAGUUCUCUGCUAACUCAUGAGCUAAUGUGGUCAAACCUGCCAGGGCCUUGGUCACUGAUCCGUCUGGAGCUGUUUUAUUAAAAAGUAUAUAAACGUACAGCAAUGAACCCCAAUCAUUCUACAUACCCCGCCCUUUUCUGCCAAUAACAUAUCGAGUCAGUCUAUUUUACCAGGUCAUGAGGGAGGUGGCGGAUAAUUGGUCAGAGAACCCCUUUACUACAUCCCCAGAAUCAUUCACAAAUCUCUGUUGAUUAUAAUAGAUCACUAUUAUAGUCACUAAUCCAAUCCACAUUUUUAUUUAUUGUCAACCACCAAAAUAAUGUAGUGGUAAAGCCUUCACCUAUUUGAUUCAUAGGUUUGUGUUCAUCUGGAACUUCCCUGGGGAUGCCAAUAGCAUCCAUCUAGACAAAGCUACUCCCAUCCUGGUCAAAACUCCUCCUGUGCCUACUUUAUAGCCUCCUAAUACUGGCCUCUGAUGACUAAGCCGAACUGGUUGGACCAAUAACCCCGGGGCGCAAGUUCCUAACCACCCUUUUUGGUAGUUUCUGUCGUAUGCGUCCUUUGCUGGUACGAGCCCACCCUACAUCAGGUAUAGCUGCUGUGAGGUUAAGAAUAGUCUCCUGUACUUCCAAACCUAAGUCAGUCACAUCAACGAUUACCUUUCAGCCAUUAAAAUCAUCUAAGUUCUCGGUGCCAUUCUUGUAUCUAUAACACUGGUACUCAUCAGGAGUUAAAGUGAACCGAGGUGGGUUGGCCAAGUACUUCAAUCUGGCCAACCCAAUCCCUGUGAAGUUAUUUCCUAGGGAAUUGUUUACCUUAAAUCUUACAUCUUGAUCUUCUUUGACUCCUUAUUCUGUAAGUCACUCAUCAGUGUAUUAUAUAGUUUAUCUUUUACUUCUUAUCAAUGACAGCGGCAUCAUAUAAUUAGUACCGGAAGGUGGUGGAUCUGGAUGUAUCAGAAAGAUUACCAAGACGAUAAUGCAGCUCAGAGUCCCUACUCUUCCCAAAAACCGCCAACCCCCUCCUGCCCUUAGUCGGUCUACUAGGUACCACCCCAUACUCCCACCUCUAGGAGCACACACAGUGAUGAACGGUCGGGAUAGGGAAUCUUUGUUAAGGAGGUAACCCCUGGACCCUGUUGGUACUCGGUUCCUCUCCUAACUCUGUGUGUGAGCAGCAGUGCUUGUAUGUGUACAUACCCUUUUGCAGUGGGUAACGUGGACCCAAGUGACUUCCUCAGCUAUUCUAAUGGCAAAGGCGGUGGUUUAACAGAACCUGGUAUAGGCCUUCCCAAAGGGGCUGCUUCCAGUCUUUUCUCCUCAGGGACUGGAUCCACACCCAGUCUCCUGGUUGGAUUGAGUAAAUCACCUUCUCCUGUAAUUCACCUGUUGGACACAACAUCUUGGCCAUACGGUUUGGUUAACAAACAGUCUUCUCAUGUGUUCUGCUAGUAUAUCUUCAACUUCUAUGUCUACCUGUUCUUGUCCCUAACUCUGGCAUUCUAUUUGUUCUACCUGAUUAUCUAAAAUGUCAUCCAUUAUUUACAGAAAUAGAAUCUAGUAAACCAACUCUAGGGAUAAUAUCUUGACCUAAUAUUUUAGCUACCAUAAUCGUGUCCGCCAAGUAAGUUGGGAACGCUUCUACACAUUUAAUAUACUUAUCUAUUAUUGUUAAACACACCUUCUUUCCCUCACUUCCGAAUAGUUCAAUGAAGUCCAUUUCUAAAUGAUGGAGUUGAUAUUCUACCAAUUUUUAAAAAAAGUAGUUAUUCUCUAGGCCAUUAAGUGUUUCCUAACCUGCUCUACCAUCCUUCCUCCCUGUUGGCACAUGGCUCUGCCCAUGUGUCAAUAUUUCUGCAUAUCUAAACAAUGACUUAGUUAAGAUUAGUAAAUUAUUCUUAUGUCUGACAUUAUCUUGUAGGAUCGCCCCAAUUCAUUUUCCACAUGUCCAAUUUUUCCUGGGGCGUUCGUUCUUGGCUAUCCUGUAACAAUUCUCUGUCAAGUGUCUUAUCUUCUUUAAGAUUUAUCUGUGCUGCUUUGUAUGGUUUUAAAUGCAUGUGUGGUGUCUAUGUAAAUAGUAACCUUUCUCUCCUUUCUUUUUUCGCAGGCUCUAGUCAAUGCUACUUUUUCGGCCUGCUGUGCAGAAUCAUUUCUGGACAAUGGUUCAGUGUCUAACACCUUAGUUCCUGAAACCAACUAAGCUUUCAUUCCCCUUUUAGUUAGGGUAACUACUUUCAACAUAAUCAUAUCUCUUCCUAGUGAAUUUACUAACCAUCCACUUAAAAUAAAAACCAAAAUACCUGCCUCCCCUCCUAACUUUUCAUAUUUUUAAAACCGAUGGAGCUAACAGUCUCUCCAUGAAUUAAUAUCCUAAAGCUAAGCAAACCAAAUUCUCUUCCCCUGUAACGGUUGUCUUCCUCCUAGUAGGAAGGAUCAGAGUAGGAAGGAUCGGAGGACCAAUGCGCAGUGUGGUAAGUGUCCGUCUUUUUAAUUUAAGUAAAUGAACACUGAACAAAAACAACAAUGUAAACGAACGAAGAAGUUCUGUCUGGUGCAGAUACAAACACUCAACAGAAAACAAUCACCCACACCACACAGGUGGGAAAAGGCUGCCUAAGUAUGAUUCUCAAACAGAGACAACUAACGACACCUGCCUCUGAUUGAGAACCAUACCAGGCCAAACACAAAAACACCACAUAGAAAAAGGAACAUAGACAACGGAGAAGCCAACCCCCGCACUCACGCACGGACCAUACUAAAACAAAGACAUAACAAAAGAACUAAGGUCAGAACGUGAAUCCCCUUUUAUUCUUAUUCUGUCUUUUCUGUCAGUCACGGUAUUAUUUCUGUCCCCCAUUUUCCCCAGAGCCUUACACUCUGCCAUCUAAUCCUGUUUAUAAUUUAACUAUGCUGGUCUCCACUCAGUAACUGUUAUAUACCCAUUCUGUAUCACUUCUACCUUCUCUCCUCAUGCUACUCCCAAACCAUCAAGGUCUCAGCAGUGCGGGGGAGGGCUUCUCCGUCUGCCCUUCUAUCCUCUCUCCUCCUGCUACUCCCAAAACAUCAAGGUCUCAGCAGUGCGGGGGAGGGCUUCUCCGUCUGCCCUUCUAUCCUCUCUCCUCCUGCUACUCCCAAACCAUCAAGGUCUCAGCAGUGCGGGGGAGGGCUUCUCCGUCUGCCCUUCUAUCCUCUCUCCUCCUGCUACUCCCAAACCAUCAAGGUCUCAGCAGUGCGGGGGAGGGCUUCUCCGUCUGCCCUUCUAUCCUCUCUCCUCCUGCUACUCCCAAACCAUCAAGGUCUCAGCAGUGCGGGGGAGGGCUUCUCCAUCUGCCCUUCCUUCUAUCUUCUCUCCUCCUGCUACUCCCAAACCAUCAAGGUCUCAGCAGUGCGGGGGAGGGCUUCUCCAUCUGCCCUUCCUUCUAUCUGUCUGUCGCUCUUUCUUAUAACAGUCAGUAUCAAAUAUAGGUUCUGUUUCCGAAUAUUGACUAAAUGUCUCACUGUCUCCCUGUCUGCACUAAUGGAUUUUUAGAAAAAUCAACAUGUCUAUGGUAGUAAUCCCUAAGAUUAUUACCUAGUUGAUAAAGUUUAUCUCGAUGCUCUCAAUGAUCCUGAAUCCCCACAGAUGUCAUAUAUCCCUGUCCUGUUGGCUUAGAAUAUGUCCUAAAUACUUAACAUAGAGUCUACCAUUAUUAAAACGUAUUCUUGCUAACUUUAUAACCUUAUUCAACAACAACCUAUAAUAAUACUAUUAUAUCAUUUUCACAGACUUGUUGUGUAAAAUGUAUUACACUGCAUACAACAACAGCUGACUACCUAAGGGAAAAUAAAACUUUGCUCGAUAACUAAACAUUACUUAAGCCAAAAUAGUGGGAGUUUCAAAAUAACCUUAUGACAGUUUUUUAUAAACCCACCUUCGCCCCAUUUUUAACCCAUAAUUCUCCAUGAGAAAAAAUACUACUACUGGUCAAAAGAUAAAACAAAGUUUCAAAUAACAUAAUCAGAUCAAAAUCACUACUCUAAAACCCUCCACAAAGAAAGAUUAUUGUACCCUUAUGGCCAUAGAAAGAGAGACUUAAGGAAGUCUACCCUUAUUCAAAGGCUAUGCCCUUUUCUUAUUGGUUCAAAUGACAAAUAUGUCAAAGAACUAUAAACUCCAUCAUAAUGAUCACUUACACAAAUGACCUUAAAAUCAGUAUCACAAAUGACCUUAAAUUCAUUAUCCAAAUGGCCCUCCCAUAAGGCUGAUCAGACCACAAAGGAAAGCCAUGAUAGAGGUCAAAAGUCAUACCACCCCUUCAAAGAAGUGUUUCUUACUAUAUUAGACAAAAAAAAUUAAAAGUCAAACAUUUUCAACAUGUUGUAUCCCAGGUUCCCAGAACACUCCCUGAUCAAAAUAAUUCACGUGCUUAAUUAAAACUCAGAAAAUAAAACUUCUAAAAUUCCACGUGUGUGUGUACCCCUUUAAGAUAUCGUGGCUCUAGGAAAAAGGGAAAUCUCCUCAAACCCAAGGGCAACCCCUAGGUUAAAAACAAACAAAACAUUUCCUGGCCUUUUCAAUUUGGUAGAAAUAUGCCUCUAUCUCACUCCAAAGAGAGACAAUGAAGCACUCCUUUUCCCAGAAAAAACCCACAACCACUUGGUCAGCAUUUCAUUAUACUACACCGAUUCAGAAACCCAAACGUUGACUACAAACAAAACCUAAUAAUAAUCAUAAUUCUAUUGUACUCCCUCAAAUCAUUCAUUUUAAACUUCCUCAAUGGUUAUAUGUACUUAAUUGAACAUGCGCUACCCUUGGAUACAAUGCUGUACUUCAAAUCUAUGAAAUUCCCCUAAUUAACAUAUUACUUGACUGAUUUUGCCCAAGUCUGCUUUACAACAUUAAAACCCAUUCAGUCUGUCUGCAAACAAUCUCUCAAAGUGCUUGAUAGGAAGCCACAUAGCCAUCUUCACUGUUACAUUCUCAAAAAGUUUGAGCUCCUGAAUUGGAAAAAUCUUAUGCAAUACACUGAUGCUCAGUACUUUUGUUAAACAGAAAACCCAAACCUUAUGGCAGCAGAUCCACAAGGUCCGCCAUGAGAGAUGACUGUAUAGUUUCCUUAAGGAAAAGCACCUUCAGUCAAUCUGCUUUUGUUCUAUGUAAUGGAAACAGAUUUUAAUGUUAGAAUACAUUAACUUCCUGCUCAAAUUCACUGGUAUUACCAAAACAAAAAAACAAAAAAAACAAUAAUCAGAAACUAUCACGGAUUGUAAAAGUUUUAACUAUUCAGACCUGAAUCCCUUACAGCCAAAUAUAGCCCAGCGAGCACGACUAACUCACCUAUUCUUUCCAGUAGGUGAAAAUAUAACCCCUACUCAAACAACGUUCUGCCUUACCUCUAUCGUAAGAAUAAAACCAAACUUUCAAACUUUCUCUUCUCUUUCAACUUCACACUUAUGAAAUGUCCAAGACUUUAAAAGUAACAUGUAAAUCACCAAAUUUAUAAAUUACAUCAGUCAAUUCAUAAGAAUAACAAAACACAUUUUGGUGGGCACAACUCUAUCACAAUUACCUCUCCGCUAUUAUUUAGAAUUCAUUAGAUUUAGGUAACUGUCUCUUCUAUGAUUCAGUCAUUUAAAUACGACUCCAUUCUCAAUAUGUAUUUUCCACAGAUCAUUCAGGCAACAGACACAGUCUUGCAUUGAAAUCGCCUCGCUAUUAUUUAGAAUGAAUUAGUCUUUCAAUUUAACCUAAACAAGCUAUUAAAACGUUCUGUUUAUAUCUUAACCAAACACUAACAACCGUAUCUUUCCAGGCAAAACAUACCAAUUGUUGAAUUACAAUCAGAAACCCAGAAUUGAGUAAAUUGGUGUAUAGGCUGGGAAACAAACCCAGGUCUCCCAUGUGGUAGGUGAGAAUUAU